GACGAACGCUGGCGGCGUGCUUAACACAUGCAAGUCGAACGGAAAGGCCCUGCAUUUGUGGGGUGCUCGAGUGGCGAACGGGUGAGUAACACGUGAGUAACCUGCCCUUGACUUUGGGAUAACUUCAGGAAACUGGGGCUAAUACCGGAUAGGAGCUCCUGCUGCAUGGUGGGGGUUGGAAAGUUUCGGCGGUUGGGGAUGGACUCGCGGCUUAUCAGCUUGUUGGUGGGGUAGUGGCUUACCAAGGCUUUGACGGGUAGCCGGCCUGAGAGGGUGACCGGACACAUUGGGACUGAGAUACGGCACAGACUACUACGGGAGGCAGCAGUGGGGAAUAGUGCACAAUGGGCGGAAGCCUGAUGCAGCAACGCCGCGUGCGGGAUGACGGCCUUCGGGUUGUAAACCGCUUUCGCCUGUGACGAAGCGUGAGUGACGGUAAUGGGUAAAGAAGCACCGGCUAACUACGUG
rnacentral:rRNA from 1 species